AUCACCACCGCCAUCAGAGGUCAUUGGGUGUUACUACUAACUUGGGUGACACUAAACAGAUCUGGGAUACAAUCCUAGCUAAUUCGUUGCGCACUGUCUGACAUUGGGUGAAUCGCUUCACCAAUCUGUGCCUCAAUUUCUUGACCUUUAAAAUGGGGGUGAUGAUACUUGUCCCCAGAGCGAAAUGUACUGCAAAGUGAAUGAAGCUAAAGCUUAGGUAGCCCUCACUUCUAAAGACCUGCUUUUGUAUCUAAUUUCAUGUUGGCCCUUUUCCAAGUUGUACUCAGCGUGGAAAUUUUUGUCAACAUAAAUCUAAGGACAAGAAAUUUCUUCCUAGAGAUACAACACAAGUGAGACAGAUGGGAUGGUUGGGGUGGGGAAGCAUCACAGAGCAUGGGGCUGGUUCAGGGCUCUGGGCUGCCAACUUUACAGAGUUCUCAUCUCAGCAUCUACAUCUGCACAGACUCAUGCAGUAGCCUAUAACAACCAGGAGAGCUAAGGCUCCUGAAUACGGGACCUGGAAGUUAUGACCUUUGAGCAAUUGUAGCCAGAAAGAAGCCUUGUCUGCUAUUGGAUUUGGAGCCCCAGCAGAGGGGGUGAGCCAUCUAGGACAGACUGGAGGACGACAAGGAAGUGUGGCCACAGACAAUCAAUAGAAUGAAAGAAGACACUGUCAACGGGAAGGGAUGAAACAUUCCUCACAGCCCCACCUGGCUAAGGUUUCACCAGCCAUUAGCGUGGGGGGCCUGGAAGUGAAUAUGGGAGGCAUAUUAUGUUUAUUUGUCCUUUGUACAUUCACGUGCAAGUUGAUGAUUUGAUGAGCGGUAUAUAGUUUAUUCUGUAGUGUGGGAUUGGCCACAGGAGUAUAAUUUAAUUAGGGCUGCUCUGCAUACUGAUUUGCUUAGUUUGAAGCCCAUUCCUCCCCUGGGCAGGGAAGUCUCUAAGCCUC
rnacentral:lncRNA from 1 species